GUGAUUGGGCUAGUCUGGUUGCAACAUCUGUCACCCCAUUGAUCACCAGAAUUGAUUCAACUGAUCUGGCUGGCUAAGUGGGGGUCCCCUUCCUCCCUCACUGCUCCAUGUGUGUUCCUCCCGAAGCUGCAAGCCUGGUCAAAGAGGACGACCUUCCCCCAAUAGAGGAGGACCGGUCCUCUGUCAAGGGUAUAUGAAUAGCUGCACUCCCCUGCUAGAACCUCCAAACAAGCUCUCAAGGUCCAUUUAUUAUUAUGUUUUAAUUGAAAUAGAACUACAUUGUUUUCU
rnacentral:snRNA from 1 species